ensembl:lncRNA
UCUGUGUUGGAGUCUGGCUGGAGAAUCCAAUGAGCUGCUUGUCAGGGAGGCCCAAACCAUGUGUGAGCCGGACCAGGGGUGUUUGAGGCUGUCGACAGCGUAGCAUCCCAGAUGGUGGGUCUGGUGACUGGGCCUUUCAUCUGCUCAUCCCAUUGCCUGUUGUGUUUGUCUGCAUUUUCUUUUAACAUCGCAUGCCUCGAUUUUAUAUUGUUUGUGUGGAGAAACUAAGUCGGUGAGCGCCCUGUGCCAGAGCCUGUCCCCGUUCUCACCCCGGUGCGGCCUAGUCAUCGGUAGCACUCAAUUUGUUUGUAGAGGCGCAUUUUGUAAUUCCUACAGCUGAUGGAAAUUGGUUUCAUUGUUUUGUAUUCUUACUAUAUUUUAACUAAAUGUUAAUCUGGGGGAACCCUUUUGCCUCAGUCUGACUUCAGUCACCUGUUGAUCUGUGGUUGUUGGAUAAUUUAUGAGGAAAUGUUUAACCCUGUCCUACCGGUGGUUACAAAUGUCUUCCAGUUGCUCAACUUCUCAUGAUAUGAUCUACAAACUAUGCAUCAGCUAAAACUAAUGCAGUCUAAUACAACAGCCCUACAACUUUCUCCCUCAUUCUCUUGUAUCGGAAGUCGACAGCCCAAAUAGAAUUCGGCCAAUGGUACCCCUAGACGGGAUUUACUCACAUGUUGAACUUUACUAAUUGCUUGUGAUCUCUUCUCAGACUGCUAUGGCUGAUUCCACACACAGAAUCAAGAUUAACAUUGGCUAAAACUUCCAAAUGGCUUGCCAAAGUCACUAGAUAUCUUCACUGCAAGAUGAAGACAACCUUUAGGUUAAAGGGCAACCUGUCACUUCAAUACAUGGACCAAGAGUUUGGCAAUUACUUUUUAAUCUCAACUCUACCACUGAAUUUCAGGGACAAGUAGGAGGCCAAAGGGGUUAGUUGACGUGUAAAAUGUUUGCCCUACCUCUGUGGAUUGCCCGUGAGAAAUUGCGUAACCCGGUUUUAUAAAUUGUGGCAGAUAAUUUUUUUAAAUAUUGUCAUUUACUCAUUAUGCGUUGUGCAAGAAACCUGGUGGAGACCGUGGAGCCAUGAGUGCAAACAAAAGUUUCAAUUGCUUGGUGAUUGAUGUUUGUUCCAUAGUGUAAGUGAAUCGUAUGUGCAUCUGUACCCUCUAAAAAUGCACUUUAAAUACACAUUUCUGUGGCAGUAAUAACUGCCAUUUUAAAUUGGUAAUUAAAGAGCAAUUUUUCAUUAACUGAACCGGAGUUUGUUGCACAAUAUAUCACAAGUGGGUGUUUUCAAAAUAUCUUUA